GAUAAAGAAGAUUAUUCAGUAUCAUCUCCAGAUGAUACUAUUAUUCGCCCAAUUAUUCAGUAUCAUCACCAGAAGUACUGGCUUUACUUGAAGAGGGUGCAAGGACUUUUCUGUAGUGGCGGUGGUGGUGCUGGGGUGGCGGGGUUACCUCCUGCUGAUCCUGCGACGGAUCAUUUGUUUGCCAGUGAACUUCUGGGUUCAGAAAAAAAAAAUGAUAUAGACGGGUUUUCAGUUCAAAGGAUAGAUCGGUGAAACGAGGAACGAGGAAAGAGGAGAGCAGACAAAAUAGAAACACACAGAGAAAGAGAGUAAGAGAAAAGCAAUGAAGAAGAAGAAGAAGAAUGAAGAUUUUUCAGAGCUUGAACUUCUCCUGAAUGGAUUGUUGAAAGUGUUUUCUUCUUCAUCGUAAUCAACCAAAUGCUGUAUUCAGAUCACAAACAUGAUGUGGCCAGAGCAGAGGAUGCCCUGACCCUUUCAUAUGGCAGUGAGCUAAUUGGCAUGCAGAGGGACUGGAAUGAGGAACUACAGUCUUGUUGGGAGUUCCUCAUACGACUCCUCAGGAAAGGUGUAGUUUUAACAUUUUUCUGUUAUGCAUCCAUUUCAUGUCUACCUGAUGUUCUCAUCAUCCAUGGAUUUUUAGUUUUAACUAUUUAUUGAUAACUUUCUUGACAUUAUAUCGCCCCCCCAAGUGUUUUGUCAAUUACAAGUGGCGUCAGUGGUUUUCAUUAAUUAUCAAGAUAAUUUUUGUUGCAGGAUCUUGCAUGAUAGGGCUCUCUAUAUAAGGUUACAUCUGAUUUUGUUGAUGCAGCAAUUAGUGGUGCAAUUGGAGUCAUUAAUAGAUGCAUACCCCUAUUAAUCCAACAGAUCCAGAGUGUUUUCACAUAUAAGCUUGUACCAAAAUAUACCAAAAUGUUUUUACAUCUCAUUUUGUUCUAAAUGAUAGAAUAAUAUUUCUGAAAAAUAGGUCUAAGGUGGCAUGAUCUGUAAAAAACACAGGUUGGGGGAAUUUCAACUUGACUCAUGUCAACUCAGGAAGCAUUGCCCUUGGGAGUCACAUUGCAAAACUGAAUGGACUAACACACUUCAUAAUUUAAAUGGACUCGGGUGUUUGGGUUGGAUUAUUAGCUGGAUGUUGAACCCAAAUUUUUUUUGGUGUACUGCAAAGUUUCAUCUGCACUGGUAUAAUUUGCAUGAAAGUGUAAAUGGGUUAAUUUGAGUUGUGUUUUUUCUUUCUUUUAAUUGAAGCUGAGGUUUCUUUGAGGAAGGAAGAGAGAGCUUUUUGAUUUCUACAAGUAAGCUUUUAGGAGAGGAAUGGAUAGAAGUAGACAGAAAUACAAAGUUUGGAUUCCGAGUAUAAUGCAAACCUUGCUAAGUGGACAGAAAAGUUUGUUUUACAUUCUAUGAAAGAAAACUGAAAAACACAUUUUUUAUUAGUAACAGAGCAUUUUAUUAAAAGAGAAAUAUUAAGAGAAUAAUACAGAGUUGGGAAGUUGUUACUUUGUAUUGAAAAUAUACCAAAGGAAAGUUCCAUGGAAGGCAUUUCUAUAGAGGGCCAUCAUUAUGAAAGUUUCUAAUUGGGUGGCAAAAUCUUGAUCAGCAAGGUCUCUACUCAUCUCAUAAUGGAAGCCUCCACAUGUAAAUAUGAUAAAACUGAAUUUUGACUGUUGAAGUAGAGGAACCCCGGAUAUUCAGGUGGGGGGAGGAGGAUUUACUGACUUUGGGGGGGCCAAGGCUAGCAAAAUCUCUUAACUACACAAGAUUGAUAGUGGAAGAGGACUCCAAAGUAUUGGUGGGUUGGCCGAAAAAGGAAGGACCGGUUCAUGGCAAUAUGGCAUUACAGUAUGAGGGAGACAGGGGAUGAUAAGCCACAUACAGAUUCAUAAUCAGCUGAUCAACCAACAGUUUGCCUGAUGCCAUGGCUAUAAAGGGGUUAACAUAAAAGAAAGUUGGGUAACAGUUUCGCUGUCUCCGUUGGUAUUUGUUGGUUUAUCUUUACGUUUCUCUCUAUUUGAGCCGAUGGUGUGAGCGUAGUGUUUACUAUACACUGUCCUUCCUGAGUUUUUUUGGCAACUGACAAUUGAGAAAGGUGGUGGGUUUUUCAAAAUCGAUGAAUUAGAAUUUUUAAUCAUUUUUUAGUGAAAUGAGUUUAUAUGA